rnacentral:rRNA from 1 species
GGAAGGGUAGUGGCAAACGGCUGAGUAAUGCACAGGUGACCUACCCUUGAGUGGGGAAUAAUCCUUCGAAAGAAGGACUAAUACCGCAUGAGCUCCCCGAGCGAUCGGGGAGUAAAGCCUUCGGGCGCUUGAGGAGGGGCUUGUGUCCUAUCAGGUAGUUGGUAGGGUAAGAGCCUACCAAGCCGAAGACGGGUAGCUGGUCUGAGAGGAUGGUCAGCCAGACGGGGACUGAGAUACGGCCCCGACUCCUACGGGAGGCAGCAGCAGGGGAUAUUGCGCAAUGGGCGAAAGCCUGACGCAGCGACGCCGCGUGGGGGAAGAAGGCCUUCGGGUUGUAAACCUCUUUUCUUGGUGAAGAGAAAGGACGGUAACCAAGGAAUAAGCCUCAGCUAACUACGUACCAGCAGCCGCGGUAAUACGUAGGAGGCGAGCGUUAUCCGGAUUUACUGGGCGUAAAGGGCGUGUAGAUGGCUUCUUAAGUCAGCUGUGAAAUCUCCUGGCUCAACUGGGAGAGGUCAGUUGAUACUGAGGAGCUUGAGGGCAGCAGAGGAAGAUGGAAUUCCCGGUGUAGUGGUGAAAUGCGUAGAUAUCGGGAGGAACACCAGUGGCGAAGGCGGUCUUCUGGGCUGUUUCUGACAUUGAGGCGCGAAAGCGUGGGGAGUGAAGCGGAUCAGAUACCCGCGUAAUCCACGCUAUAAACGGUGGAUACUAGGUAUGGGGGGUAUCGACCCUCUCCGUGCCGCAGCUAACGAUGUAAGUAUCCCGCCUGGGGACUACGGCCGCAAGGUUAAAACUCAAAGGAAUUGACGGGGGCCCGCACAAGCAGCGGAGCGUGUGGUUUAAUUCGAUGCAACACGAAGAACCUUACCAAGGCUUGUCAUGCCAGCGGUAGGAACCCGAAAGGGGGACGACCCCGACGUAAGUUGGGGAACUGGCACAGGUGCUACAUGGCUGUCGUCAGCUCGUGCCGUGAGGUGUUGGGUUAAGUCCCACAACGAGCGCAACCCUCGUUGCUAGUUGCACUCUCUAGCGAGACUGCUCCGAAAGUCGGAGAGGAAGGUGGGGAUGACGUCAAGUCAGCAUGGCCCUUACGCCUUGGGCGACACACACGCUACAAUGGGCGGUACAAAGGGCAGCGACAGAGCGAUCUGAAGCUAAUCCCAAAAAAGCGCCCUCAGUUCAGAUUGUAGGCUGAAACUCGCCUGCAUGAAGACGGAGUUGCUAGUAACCGCAGGUCAGCAUACUGCGGUGAAUACGUUCUCGGGCCUUGUACACACCGCCCAUCACGUCAUGAAAGCCGGCAACGCCUGAAGUCGAUGAGCUAACUUCUGAUUUAUCAGAGGGGGCAGUCGCCGAGGGCGGGGUUGGUGAUUGGGACGAAGUCGUAACAAGGUA